CCUACGGGCGGCAGCAGUGAGGAAUAUUGGUCAAUGGACGCAACUCUGAACCAGCCAUGCAGCGUGCAGGAUGACGGCUCUAUGAGUUGUAAACUGCUUUUAUGCGGGGAUAAACUCAGUUACGUGUGUCUUAUUGCAGGUAUCGCACGAAUAAGGACCGGCUAACUCCGUGCCAGCAGCCGCGGUAAUACGGAGGGUUCGGGCGUUAUCCGGAUUUAUUGGGUUUAAAGGGUGCGUAGGCGGCUCGAUAAGUGAGAGGUGAAAUGCCGCGGCUCAACCGCGGCACUGCCUCUGAUACUGGGGGGCUAGAGUGCAGUGGCGGUAGGCGGAAUGCAUGGUGUAGCGGUGAAAUGCAUAGAGAUCACAAAGAACACCGAUUGCGAAGGCAGCUUACCAAAGUACUACUGACGUUGAGGCACGAAGGUGCGGGGAGCAAACAGGAUUAGAUACCCGAGUAGUC
rnacentral:rRNA from 1 species